UCCGCACCUCGUCGCCCCCUCUGCCGCGUCGCUGCCACCAAGAACCACCGGCACGCCCUUCCUGCGCCGCGGCCGCACCACCUUCCCCGCGCCACCGCCCCCUUCCCCGCACAUUGGUGGAGAGUGCAGGAAGACUAGCGGCGGUGGAGAGAGAAGGGACGAGGGAGAGAGGCGGCGAGAGGUGGGAGGCGGAAGGACCACGCGCCGCAGCCCGAGAGCCGCCGCGUGCUCGUCUUCCAUCACAGUCGCUGCCGCGCGCUCGCCUUCCGUCGCCGUCGCCGCCACACACAGCUGCUUGAGCCGCCGCGCGCCACCGCCCGAGGACCAGAAUCGCCACCGGCGCUGCCACCGGAGCAGCUGCCGCCUGUGGAGAGGGAGGAGGAGGAAUGUGAGGAUAAGGAUGGAUUUCUCAUAUGAACGCCAGAAAAAAAAAUACCGUCAUGAAAAAUCGGUUUUCCAGUGAUAUUUGCAGCAUUAUUUGUCGUGGGCUGUACAAUAUGAGGAGGCAAUUAAGGGGAUUCAAUCGAGAUCCAAAGUGUCACUUUCGAUUCUCCAAGUUCAAGCAACCAUUUCAAUUGGAACCCAGCCACAUGGGCAUCUUAAUUGGCAACUCUAUCCUACGUUAAUUGGAUCAUAAUCCCUUCUACCAAAAUAAACCAUCAUCCUCCUGUAUAAUGUAACACAUCCUGAUACAAUAAAUAUAAAUAUAUAUUAUGUUUAGAUUCGUUGUAUUAAAAUAUAUUAUAUUAUAUAAGAGAUUGGUUUAUUUUAGAUGAGAGAGUACAAUUCUCACCGUACGGUAUUUAACGUACCG